rnacentral:misc_RNA from 1 species
UUUCCGUAGGUGAACCUGCGGAAGGAUCAUUAGUGAAUUGAAUAUGUUAGCGGACCUCUUCGGAGUCCCUAGCAUCAAAUCAUAUCCAUAACACCUGUGAACUGUAAGGCUGUCUCGAAAACGAAAGUGAUUAGAGCGCCUGCCCAUUUUUUACAAACAUUAAAGUAACGAACGUAGUCUUAUUAUAAUCUAAUAAAACUUUCAACAACGGAUUUCUUGGCUCUCGCAUCGAUAAGAACGCAGC